rnacentral:rRNA from 1 species
UCGGGAAUUUUGGGCAAUGGGCGAAAGCCUGACCCAGCAACGCCGCGUGAAGGAUGAAGUCUCUCGGGAUGUAAACUUCGUAAGAAUAGGAAGAAUAAAUGACGGUACUAUUUGUAAGGUCCGGCUAACUACGUGCCAGCAGCCGCGGUAAUACGUAGGGACCAAGCGUUGUUCGGAUUUACUGGGCGUAAAGGGCGCGUAGGCGGCGUGGUAAGUCACUUGUGAAAUCUCCGAGCUUAACUCGGAACGGUCAAGUGAUACUGCUGUGCUAGAGUACAGAAGGGGCAAUCGGAAUUCUUGGUGUAGCGGUGAAAUGCGUAGAUAUCAAGAGGAACACCUGAGGUGAAGACGGGUUGCUGGGCUGAUACUGACGCUGAGGCGCGAAAGCUAGGGUAGCAAACGGGAUUAGAUACCCCAGUAGUCCCUGAGCGGGCUGGCAAGGCG